GAUGAACGCUGACAGAAUGCUUAACACAUGCAAGUCAAGGUGGCGGACGGGUGAGUAACGCGUAAAGAACUUGCCUCACAGAUAGGGACAACAGUUGGAAACGACUGCUAAUACCGCAUACUGAAGGAGGGGAUUGCGUCUGAUUAGCUAGUUGGAGGGGUAACGGCCCACCAAGGCGAUGAUCAGUAGCCGGUCUGAGAGGAUGAACGGCCACAUUGGGACUGAGACACGGCCCAGACUCCUACGGGAGGAAGCAGUGGGGAAUAUUUGACAAUGGACCAGAGUCUGAUCCAGCAAUUCUGUGUGCACGAUGAAGUUUUUCGGAAUGUAAAGUGCUUUCAGUUGGGAAGCGGUACCAACAGAAGAAGUGACGGCUAAAUACGUGCCAGCAGCCGCGGUAAUUC
rnacentral:rRNA from 1 species